rnacentral:rRNA from 1 species
GAAAAGCGUGGGGAGCGAACAGGAUUAGAUACCCUGGUAGUCCACGCCGUAAAACGAUGGAUACUAGCUGUUCGGAGCAAUCUGAGUGGCUAAGCGAAAGUGAUAAGUAUCCCACCUGGGGAGUACGCACGCAAGUGUGAAACUCAAAGGAAUUGACGGGGGCCCGCACAAGCGGAGGAGCAUGUGGUUUAAUUCGAUGAUACGCGAGGAACCUUACCAGGGCUUAAAUGGGAGACGACAGUUUGGGAAACCAGAUUUUCUUCGGACGUCUUUCAAGGUGCUGCAUGGUUGUCGUCAGCUCGUGCCGUGAGGUGUCAGGUUAAGUCCUAUAACGAGCGCAACCCCUAUUGUUAGUUGCCAGCGGGUCAUGCCGGGAACUCUAACAAGACUGCCGGUGCAAACCGUGAGGAAGGUGGGGAUGACGUCAAAUCAUCACGGCCCUUACGUCCUGGGCUACACACGUGCUACAAUGGACGGUACAGAGAGCAGCCACUGCGCAAGCAGGAGCGAAUCUUCAAAGCCGUUCUCAGUUCGGAUCGGAGUCUGCAACUCGACUCCGUGAAGCUGGAUUCGCUAGUAAUCGCAUAUCAGCCAUGAUGCGGUGAAUACGUUCCCGGGCCUUGUACACACCGCCCGUCAAGCCAUGGAAGCUGGGGGUACCUGAAGUCGGUGACCGCAAGGAGCUGCCUAGGGUAAAACUAGUAACUGGGGCUAAGUCGUAACAAGGUAC